AGCCAGUGUGGUACAGUGGUCGAGAGUGUUGGACUAGGACCUGAGAGUUCAGGGUUCGAAUCCUUGCUCGGCCA